rnacentral:rRNA from 1 species
GACCCGUGUUGAACCACGGAGUCUAGCAUGCGCGCGAGUCAUUGGGAWUUYGUAAACCCAGAGGCGCAAUGAAAGUGAACAGCGCCGCUUCGGUGGCCGCAGGGAAGAUGGCGGCCGGUACGCCCGUCCGCCCGCAUUCCCGAGGCGUUUCGAGAAAUGCCCCCGUGCGAUUAUCGAGACGCACUGAGAGCGCGCACGCUGGGACCCGAAAGAUGGUGAACUAUGCCUGGUCAGGUCGAAGUCAGGGGAAACCCUGAUGGAGGACCGUAGCGAUUCUGACGUGCAAAUCGAUCGUCUGAACUGGGUAUAGGGGCGAAAGACUAAUCGAACUAUCUAGUAGCUGGUUCCUUCCGA